CGUUAAUUGAAUUAUGACAAAUGUCAAAAACAGUGGAGCAGCUUUCGUAACACUCUGAACGGCUGUCUACUAUGAAAGUUGCAGUACUGAUGAUCAUGAAGAUUCCAUAAAACAAAGCAAAUAAGAUAACAUACUACGCUGCCGGGGGCUUCAGAACAUACACCAACUAUCUUAUAGCCUGCUGCCUUAAAAGAAACUGCUAUAUCGAAUGAGGAUAUAUUUACACGGUUGUUCCAUAUACUGCCACAUAAGCUGAAGACGUUUUCACUUACAGACGUUUGUACGUAAAACGCUAUUCAACAAAUGAUAGAACUAUGAAGAUUUUAGACCAUUAAAAACUAUAGACGUGGCUUUGGUUAUAAAAAGCUAAUCUAAUAGUUAUAGCAAAAAAUUUUAGCGCAGUGACGUCAGUUGGUGGCAAAGAAAAGCUUUAUCACGUCAACUUUGUAUUUACCUCACAUUUUUUUGAUUAAUUUUAAUCAUGGUGCAUACUAAUGCACAAAAAGAUAUAAAACUGGUACAGAUAAGAAUUUGUAUUUUUUACAAUGGUAAUAAAUAAAUAGUUUUAAAGAAAUA